rnacentral:rRNA from 1 species
AUUGAACGCUGGCGGAAUGCUUUACACAUGCAAGUCGAACGGCAGCACGGGGGCAACCCUGGUGGCGAGUGGCGAACGGGUGAGUAAUGCAUCGGAACGUGCCCGGUCGUGGGGGAUAACGUAGCGAAAGUUACGCUAAUACCGCAUACGAUCUGAGGAUGAAAGCGGGGGACCUUCGGGCCUCGCGCGAUCGGAGCGGCCGAUGUCAGAUUAGGUAGUUGGUGGGGUAAAGGCCUACCAAGCCGACGAUCUGUAGCUGGUCUGAGAGGACGACCAGCCACACUGGGACUGAGACACGGCCCAGACUCCUACGGGAGGCAGCAGUGGGGAAUUUUGGACAAUGGGCGCAAGCCUGAUCCAGCCAUUCCGCGUGCAGGACGAAGGCCUUCGGGUUGUAAACUGCUUUUGUAUGGAACGAAAAGGCUCUGGCUAAUACCUGGGGCUCAUGACGGUACCGUAAGAAUAAGCACCGGCUAACUACGUG